AGUGAACGCUGGCGGUAGGCCUAACACAUGCAAGUCGAACGGCAGCACAGUAAGAGCUUGCUCUUACGGGUGGCGAGUGGCGGACGGGUGAGGAAUACAUCGGAAUCUACUUUUUCGUGGGGGAUAACGUAGGGAAACUUACGCUAAUACCGCAUACGACCUACGGGUGAAAGCAGGGGAUCUUCGGACCUUGCGCGAUUGAAUGAGCCGAUGUCGGAUUAGCUAGUUGGCGGGGUAAAGGCCCACCAAGGCAACGAUGCAUAGCCGACCUGAGAGGGUGAUCGGCCACACUGGAACUGAGACACGGUCCAGACUCCUACGGGAGGCAGCAGUAGGGAAUCUUCCGCAAUGGGCGAAAGCCUGACGGAGCAACGCCGCGUGAGUGAUGAAGGUCUUCGGAUCGUAAAACUCUGUUAUUAGGGAAGAACAUAUGUGUAAGUAACUGUGCACAUCUUGACGGUACCUAAUCAGAAAGCCACGGCUAACUACGUG
rnacentral:rRNA from 1 species